UACGAAGGGGGCUAGCGUUGUUCGGAUUUACUGGGCGUAAAGCGCACGUAGGCGGAUUGUUAAGUCGGGGGUGAAAUCCUGGAGCUCAACUCCAGAAUUGCCUUCGAUACUGGCUUUCUAGAGGCUGGAAGAGGUUAGUGGAAUUCCCAGUGUAGAGGUGAAAUUCGUAGAUAUUGGGAAGAACACCAGUGGCGAAGGCGGCUAACUGGUCCAGAUCUGACGCUCAGGCACGAAAGCGUGGGGAGCAAACAGG
rnacentral:rRNA from 1 species